AAGUAGUACUCUGUUCUGUGAGUUGCCAUGGCAGCCUUUCUCUCGGAGAGGAUGGCCCUAGUUCUUUCAUCUUAAGCAAUCGGCAGGCCCAUCUCCUUCGCUUAUCCUUGUUGCAGCACACAAGAGAUCGAAGCAGUUCAGACUGAACCAGGUCUUCUUCUUUGCCAUCAAGUACCACUGCUGAAAAUGAGAGUGUCGAAAAUAGUAAAGAUUAACAAAAGACUUACCAUACUAAGUAUAGCAAAUGAACGUCGGAUUUGUGUGCAAGGUUUGAUGGAAUGAGGUUGUUGAGAUUCUAGUGUUAAUACAGAUGAUGGUGGAAUAGAAGAUGUAACAUGAUUUUGAAGGGGAAGCCAUAUCAAGUAGCCUUUUCCUCCAAUAGUGGAGAGACCAUAAAAUGAAGGGGAAAUCCAAGUGCAAAAAUGCAUUAUUGGUGGAGGUGGGGAAAUCCCUAAUGUGCAAAAGAAAGCAUGUCUUUGAAGGAGAGAGACAGCUGUUGAGGGUCCUAUUUCUGCUCUAUAAUAUUCAUAUGCAAUAAUUUAUAAGUUAAUUGCAUAAAGUUGAGAUUUUUAAUAAUUAUGCAAGUGGAUCAGAUUUUCUUUGCUUUGGAA